rnacentral:lncRNA from 1 species
AAGCAAUUUGCUCAUAGCCAUAGCUUUCUUGUGAAAGUAGGAUAUUAACCCAGGUGUCUUGGUGCUGGAGAACAGAACUGGCCAGAGUCCAUCCUGUCUCCCACCGGCAUCCCAUUACGAAAUGAACACAGAAAAGGCAGGUCUGCAAUGCCAACAUCUAGUAUCUAUCCCAAAGACCAGGGAGAAAGGAAGGAAAGAUUCUGGUUCUGUCCUCUUCCCCAAGGCAAGGCUGGCUGCCCUACCAACAGAGGCAAAGAGAAGAGUGUGCAAGGCUGGCUGCCCUCCCAACAGAGGCAAAGAGGAGUGUGUGUUGAAAUAUCCAUUGAAUCCCUGAGACAACUGGAUCCUGGCCCAUUGAAUCAUAAACUCAGCAGAAUCUCACAUCAUAACCCCAAAUGACCUGUUACUCACCAUGUGGCCCAGCUGUCUUCAAACUCACCAGCCUCCUGCCUUAGCCUUCUAAAUGCUUGGAUUACAGGCAUGACCCACCAUAACUGGCUUUGUUUUAGUUUCAGAGAAGAUGAAACUGAUGUGCGUCAAAAAGCUGGUAGUCUGUCAAGGAAAUGAGCUGAACAUGUCUGUGUACAGCUUUUGUGCCAUCCCUGGAUGAGCGAGCUGUCUGCCUCUAUGUUCUCCACAAAAUGGAAUAUAGCUGUACACCCAAGCCAAGUUAUGGAGGCUGGGAAGACCUAGAAUGUGGCAUCACUAUUUGCUGAAAUUUUUAAUAUAAUGCCUCUUAGCCUGGUUUGGAGAAAACGUCACAGAGAGGCACCAUUUGUUGUGGUUUUACAUGAAAAUUUUCUGACCCUGAACCUGGUUUGAUGGAAAUCAUUUGCUGAGGAAACCAUGCCGAUUACCGACCGAGCUCUCAAUGGAAAAAUGCAGUCGGCGUGAACCACGCACGAACACAGCAGAGAAAGAAGAAAACACACACCACGAGGAACCCUAAUAGGACAAUACAUUAUAAGCCUCAUGGUACAUCCACUUGGUGUGCUGGGAGAGUCAGGAUGAGGACCUGAGAAGAACAGCAGCUUGAACCUGACUUCAUUUAACAGCCCACUGCCCUCUUGCCAAGAACCCAUCACAGACCUUCCCAGAAGAGAGGGAUGAGCCUCACCUAUGAAUAAGUCCUCAGAAACUCAAAUUUGAUUCUAAUGGAUUGUUUUCUCAGAAAGACUGAGCAUGUCCCCCCACAUCUCUGUCAUUUCCCACAGUAGUAACCUCUGCAGAUGCCACAUAGAAAACAAAACAAAACAAAAAAACAUGAGGUUGGUGGGCAGAUAGGCAGGGUAUAAACAAACAGCCUUGUAACCCAGAAGCUGUGUGAUAUACAGUAAACUUCACAACACUGAAAAGAUGUCCUAUCUGUUAAAAUGGGGUAAUAACAACUACCCGAAUGUUUAGGAAUAGAACUUCAAUAAAUGAUACAUUUUAUAGUACAGCAGACCAUCCUGUAAAGGUUUCAUCCUUCACUGUGGUGAUAAAUAUCCCAAACCACAUUGAAAAGCAUUGCAUCUACAUUUAUCUACACUGUAACUGUACUGUAAAUCAUGGGGGAGGGGAGAAUCAUAAAAACACCACCUGUCACCGUGUCAUUAAAGCAAGUUGGAAGUGAUACUUACAGAAACACAGCAAGAGCACCCCCAGUCACACAGUUCAAUCUCUUAGCAAGCGUUUUCUUUCUAGCCCAGUGGUUCUCAGUUUGGAAUUUUUGGCACUGCCUAGAGAUAGUUUUGUUGUUAAAACUGAGAAAAGAGCCGGGCGUGGUGGCACACGCCUUUAAUCCCAGCACUCAGGAGGCAGAGGCAGG